GACGAACGCUGGCGGCGUGCUUAACACAUGCAAGUCGAACGGAAAGGCCCUGCUUUCGUGGGGUGCUGGGGUGGCGAGAGGGUGAGUAGGACGAGAGUCACCUGCCCUUGACUUUGGGAUAACUUCAGGAAGCUGGGGCAAAUACCGGAUAGGAGCUAAAGGUGCGUGGUGGGGGGUGGAUAGUGUCGGAGGCUGGGGAUGGGGGCGGGGCUUAUCAGGUUGCCGGUGGGGUAGUGGCUUGCGAGGGCGUUGACGGGUGGCCGGCCUGAGAGGGUGACCGGCCACGUUGGGACUGAGAUCCGGCCCAGGCUCCGACGGGGGGCAGCAGUGGGGAAUAUUGCACAUGGGGCGGAGGCCUGAUGCAGCAACGCCCCGUGCGGGAUUACUCCCUUCGGUUUGUAACCCGCUUUCGCCUGUGUCUAAGCGGGAGUUGCGGUAAUGGGUAAAGAAGCACCGGCUAACUACGUG
rnacentral:rRNA from 1 species